UAACGAAUAUUCCACAAUGCGCGAAAGCGUGAUGGAGCAAUGCCGCGUGAAGGAUGAAGCACCUCGGUGUGUAAACUUCUGUCAGGAGUCACCAAGCUCUGAGGAACUCCAGAGGAAGGACCGGCUAACUUCGUGCCAGCAGCCGCGGUAAUACGAAGGGUCCAAGCGUUAAUCGGAAUCACUGGGCUUAAAGGGUGCGCAGGCGGACAAGUAAGUGUCUUGUGAAAUCCCACCGCUCAACGGUGGAAUGGCUCGGCAUACUGCUUGUCUUGAGCCCGACAGGGGCCGUCGGAACGGUAGGUGGAGCGGUGAAAUGCGUAGAUAUCUACCGGAACGCCAAAGGUGAAGACAGACGGCUGGGUCGGCGCUGACGCUCAGGCACGAAAGCGUGGGUAGCGAACGGGAUUAGAUACCCCCGUAGUCC
rnacentral:rRNA from 1 species